rnacentral:rRNA from 1 species
CUGAACUGAUGUGUUCAUUUCAAAAAUUAAGCCAUGCAUGUAUAAGUUUAGUCGUUAUUC